rnacentral:rRNA from 1 species
AGAGUUUGAUCCUGGCUCAGAUUGAACGCUGGCGGCAUGCCUUACACAUGCAAGUCGAACGGCAGCACGGGAGCAAUCCUGGUGGCGAGUGGCGAACGGGUGAGUAAUAUAUCGGAACGUGCCCAGUAAUGGGGGAUAGCCCGGCGAAAGCCGGAUUAAUACCGCAUACGACCUACGGGUGAAAGCGGGGGAUCGCAAGACCUCGCGUUAUUGGAGCGGCCGAUAUCAGAUUAGCUUGUUGGUGGGGUAAAAGCCUACCAAGGCGACGAUCUGUAGCUGGUCUGAGAGGACGACCAGCCACACUGGGACUGAGACACGGCCCAGACUCCUACGGGAGGCAGCAGUGGGGAAUUUUGGACAAUGGGCGCAAGCCUGAUCCAGCCAUGCCGCGUGCGGGAAGAAGGCCUUCGGGUUGUAAACCGCUUUUGUCAGGGAAGAAACGGUCUGAUCUAAUAAAUCGGACUAAUGACGGUACCUGAAGAAUAAGCACCGGCUAACUACGUGCCAGCAGCCGCGGUAAUAC